UCGACGGUGAUCUCGGUGCUUGCACCGGGUGAUCAGUGGCGAACGGGUGAGUAACACGUGAGCAACCUGCCCCCGACCCUGGGAUAACCCCGAGAAAUCGGAGCUAAUACCGGAUACGAGACGCACAGGCAUCUGUAGCGUCUGGAAAGAUUCAUCGGUCAGGGAUGGGCUCGCGGCCUAUCAGCUAGUUGGUGAGGUAGUGGCUCACCAAGGCGACGACGGGUAGCCGGCCUGAGAGGGCGACCGGCCACACUGGGACUGAGACACGGCCCAGACUCCUACGGGAGGCAGCAGUGGGGAAUAUUGCACAAUGGGCGCAAGCCUGAUGCAGCGACGCCGCGUGGGGGAUGAAGGCCUUCGGGUUGUAAACCCCUUUCAGCAGGGAAGAAGCGAAAGUGACGGUACCUGCAGAAGAAGCGCCGGCUAACUACGUGCCAGCAGCCGCGGUAAUACGUAGGGCGCAAGCGUUGUCCGGAUUUAUUGGGCGUAAAGAGCUCGUAGGCGGUUUGUCGCGUCUGCUGUGAAAACCCGAGGCUCAACCUCGGGCCUGCAGUGGGUACGGGCAGACUAGAGUGCGGUAGGGGAGACUGGAAUUCCUGGUGUAGCGGUGGAAUGCGCAGAUAUCAGGAGGAACACCGAUGGCGAAGGCAGGUCUCUGGGCCGCAACUGACGCUGAGGAGCGAAAGCAUGGGGAGCGAACAGGAUUAGAUACCCUGGUAGUCCAUGCCGUANACGUUGGGCACUAGGUGUGGGGCNCAUUCCACGAGUUCCGUGC
rnacentral:rRNA from 1 species